rnacentral:rRNA from 1 species
AAUAGAUACCCCGGUAGUCCUGGCCCUAAACGGUUCGCAUUUGCUGUAAGAGGAAUCGACCCCUUUUGUGGCGAAGCUAACGCGUUAAAUGCGCCGCCUGGGAAGUACGGCCGCAAGGUUAAAACUCAAAGAAAUUGACGGGGGCCUGCACAAGCGGUGGAGUAUGUGGCUUAAUUCGAUGCAACGCGAAGAACCUUACCUGGCCUUGACAUGCAAGUAGUAGAACCCUGAAAGGGGGACGAGGUAGCAAUACCAGCUUGCACAGGUGCUGCAUGGCUGUCGUCAGCUCGUGUCGUGAGAUGUUGGGUUAAGUCCCGCAACGAGCGCAACCCUCGCUACUAGUUGCCAGCAGGUUAAGCUGGGCACUCUAGUGGAACUGCCGGUGGCAAGCCGGAGGAAGGUGGGGAUGACGUCAAGUCCUCAUGGCCCUUACGCGUGGGGCUACACACGUGCUACAAUGGUGGUGACAGAGGGAUAAUCCCUAAAAGGCCAUCUCAGUUCGGAUUGUCCUCUGCAACUCGAGGGCA